rnacentral:rRNA from 1 species
AUUGAACGCUGGCGGCAUGCUUUACACAUGCAAGUCGAACGGAUUAGAGGGGCUUGCUCCUCUAGUUAGUGGCGAACGGGUGAGUAAUGCAUCGGAACGUACCGUGUAGUGGGGGAUAACCCGGCGAAAGUCGGAUUAAUACCGCAUACGAUCUAAGGAUGAAAGCGGGGGAUCGCAAGACCUCGCGCUAUACGAGCGGCCGAUGUCGGAUUAGCUAGUUGGUAGGGUAAAGGCCUACCAAGGCAACGAUCCGUAGCGGGUCUGAGAGGAUGAUCCGCCACACUGGGACUGAGACACGGCCCAGACUCCUACGGGAGGCAGCAGUGGGGAAUUUUGCGCAAUGGACGAAAGUCCGACGCAGCAACGCCGCGUGGGUGAUGAAGGUCUUCGGACUGUAAAACCCUGUCGUCAGGGACGAAGGUGGCAGUGUUAAUAGCGCUGUUACUUGACGGUACCUGGAGAGGAAGCCCCGGCUAACUCUGUGCCAGCAGCCGCGGUAAU